rnacentral:rRNA from 1 species
UACGAAGGGGACUAGCGUUGUUCGGAAUCACUGGGCGUAAAGCGCACGUAGGCGGAUUUGUAAGUCAGGGGUGAAAUCCCGGGGCUCAACCUCGGAACUGCCUUUGAUACUGCGAAUCUUGAGUCCGAUAGAGGUGGGUGGAAUUCCUAGUGUAGAGGUGAAAUUCGUAGAGAUUGGGAAGAACACCCGUGGCGAAGGCGGCCAACUGGACCGACAUUGACGCUGAGGCGCGAAAGCGUGGGGAUCAAACAGG